UACUGACGCUCAUGCACGAAAGCGCGGGUAGCGAACAGGAUUAGAUACCCUGGUAGUCCGCGCGGUAAACGAUGAUUACUAAUUGUGUGUCUUAAGAGGCACGUGACUAAGUGAAAGCGAUAAGUAAUCCACCUGGGGAGUACGCCGGCAACGGUGAAACUCAAAGGAAUUGACGGGGGCCCGCACAAGCGGAGGAACAUGUGGUUUAAUUCGAUGAUACGCGAGGAACCUUACCCAGGCUCGAACGUAGGAUGAUUAUUCAGAAAUGGAUAUGUCUUAGCAAUAAGAAGUUCUACGAGGUGCUGCAUGGUUGUCGUCAGCUCGUGCCGUGAGGUGUCAGGUUAAGUCCUAUAACGAGCGCAACCCCUGCUGACAGUUACUAACGCGUAAAGGUGAGGACUCUGUCAGGACUGCCGCCGUAAGGUGCGAGGAAGGUGGGGAUGACGUCAAAUCAGCACGGCCCUUACGUCUGGGGCGACACACGUGUUACAAUGGUCGGUACAGAGAGUUGCUAUCCCGUGAGGGUGCGCUAAUCUUUAAAGCCGAUCUCAGUUCGGAUUGGAGUCUGGAACUCGACUCCAUGAAGCUGGAUUCGCUAGU
rnacentral:rRNA from 1 species